AGUUUCACAAAGCUCAGACUUGCUGGCAACCCUCCUGCCUAAGCCUCCUGACAGCUGAGAUCACAGAUGUUGGCAGCAUGCUUUUUAUGUUGUUUUUGAUGCUAGGAAAGAACUCUUCAACUGACCUGUAUCCCUCUGACUUUUCUUUUUUGUUCUUUUAUUGUUUUAGCAGAAGGCCGAGGAGGGCCUUGCUUAUUUAAAAUAAAACUAUGCAUACGUUUUGAUGGUAUGUAUAGGUGCACCACUUCUAUGCUUGGUACCCUUGGAGGCCAGAAGAGGCUAUCAGAUUCCCUGGGACUGUAGUUACAGAGGGUUAUAAGUUGCCAAGUGGAUAAUGAGAAUCAAAUUAGGGUCCUCUAAAAUCUUCUGAGUCCCCUUAAAUUUUUUUGUGUAUAUUGUGUGUGCAUGUGCUGCAGAGCCCAGAAGAGGGCGUCGGGUCCCCUGGAGCUGGAGUUACAAGUAGAGCAACCCAAUGUGGGUGGUCUUCAGAGGGAGGAAGAAGAGCGUUUAUUCCCUGAGCCAUCUCUUUGGCCUCCUGGCUUCUGCUUUAUACAAAAAGCUCUUCAGGAUGUAAUUCUGUGCUAGUAAGGUUUGUUCUCUCUUUUUGCGAAGAUCCUGCAAACAUUUCUCUAUGUGUUCCAUGUAUCUAGCCCAAGUUUGUGAGCAAUACACUAGGAAGACGUGGAGCAACUAAGACCCGGAGGUGCGGAGGGAGGGGGAGCAACGGAAAGAGAAAGCUCGCCUGCUCGUGCUAAAUCGUGAGGGAGCACCAGCACUGUGUGGACCCGCACCUACUGAGAGCAGCACAAUGGUCCAUUGCCCGAAUGAGAGAUCGCUCUAAGGCUCAGCUUUACGAGCAUACGUGCUCACGCGCUUGCGCAGCAGCAGCAGCAGCAUCACAACCCCAAGCCUGAUUGGCUGACUCGAGUCCGGCAGCGAGAUCACGCAUGCGCGCUUUCUCGCGCUCGCGAGCACGGUCUUGUGGGUGCUGUUCUUGGACCUUCAUUCUUUCUGUAGAACCAUAAUUUUUAUCCCAGUUCACGAUGUUUCCGGAACUCAACAACCUUCUCAGCACCACCCCAGACAAGACCGAGCAGGGGACGCUGACUCUCCUCUGUGACGCUAAGACAGAUGGCAGCUUCCUUGUGCACCACUUCCUUUCCUUCUACCUGAAAGCUAAUUGUAAAGUCUGCUUUGUGGCACUUGUCCAGUCCUUCAGCCAUUACAAUAUUGUGGGACAGAAACUGGGUGUCAGCUUGACAGCGGCUCGGGACAGAGGGCAGCUUGUGUUCCUGGAGGGUCUCAAGUCCUCUGUGGAGGUCCUCUUCCACUCUCAGGACGAGCCUCACCCCCUGCAGUUUCUCAGGGAGGCUGGUACAGGAAACCUGCAGUCACUGUAUACGUUUAUUCAGGACACCCUGAAGCCUGCGGACAGUGAGGAGUCCCCAUGGAAGUACCCAGUGCUGUUGGUGGACAACCUCAGUGUGCUGCUGAGCCUGGGCGUGGGGGCAGUCGCUGUGCUGGACUUCAUGCAGUACUGCAGAGCCACGGUGUGCUGCGAACUGAAGGUACUGCCGAGACUGCUGUGGUCCCUGAGAACCCAGACUGUGCUCUGCUUUCUCUGUCUGCCUGCUCUGAGUUCCGCUGCUUUCCUCAGGGAAACGUGGUAGCCCUUGUGCAUGACACUGAGGGCGCUACGGAUGAGGGGAAUGACACCCUGCUGAACGGCCUCAGCCAUCAAAGCCACCUGAUCCUGCGGGCUGAGGGCCUGGCCACUGGAUUCUGCAAGGACGUGCAUGGGCAGCUGAGCAUCCUCUGGCGGAGGCCGUCGCGGUCCACAGCCCAGCGGGCUCAAAGUCUCACUUACCAAUACAAGAUACAGGACAAGAAUGUGUCCUUUUUUGCCAAAGGAAUGUCUCCUGCUGUUCUGUGACCUGAUUUGGGACAACUGAAGUGACUUUGGACAGUUAAGAAGCACCCUGGCUGAACACUCGUCAGGCUUGACUGCAGCUCCGCUGUGACCAGGGAGGAUGGCGCUGUGAGGGUGUGCCCGCUUUGUCUCCAGGGCUCUGCUUAGGAAACACAGUGAGGAACUGCACGUGGCUUAUGCUGAGAGAGGCUGCAAGGUGAACCCCAGCAGAGCCAACCUUUGGGGCAUCCCACAUGACUCCAGCCUCACCUGCCUGUUUUUGGAGGUUGUGCCAUUAAGAGCCACUGUAGAUAGAAGGAGGCCAUCAGGAGGUUGUCUUGAAUGGCAGCCAUCCUGGCUGACAGCUAGGACAAUGAGGCAGAAUAAAGAAGGUUCCCACACAGGCUUCCUGGAGGUUGUCUUUUUUAUAUUUCACUUCCCUUUUACAUGGGGACUUUUCCUUGAAGUCCAGUAAGGAGAUGGGCUUGGAAAUGGAGGUGAGGACACUCGGGGCUCAGAGCAGGCUGAGGACAAUUGAGCUGGAACUGGACUCCAAAGCCGUACCUGCCAGCCUGCACUCAUGGAGACCAGGGUCAGGUGUCCCCACCCUCACCCACUGAAGGUGUAAACCUGCUUCUGUCUCUGCAGCUUGGCCUGUAUGCUGGAGUCCUAGCCAUCAAAAGCAUGGCACUGGGACCUUGAAUGAGGGAGAGGGGAGUAUGACUUUGAGAAGAGUAAGAAAGUGUCUUUGCUGCCUGGUUAGAAGGAUCAUGGUGAGUUACUGUAAUGCAUCUUUGAAGACAGUGGGGACAAGAGGAAGGAGGUCUUGGAACCAGUCUUUUUGGUCUGUGUGUCUGUGUGUCUGUGUGUUUUGGAGGGCAAAUUGAGACUAGGUUUCUUCUAUGUAGCCCUUGCUGGCCUGGAACUUGCUAUGUAGACUAGGCUGGCCUGGAGCUCACAGAGAUUCCCCUGCCUCUGCCUCCAAAAUGCUGGGAUUAGAGGUUACAGUACCAUGUCUGAUAAGAGAAAGGAAUAUUUAUCCCAGCGUCCUGAGAUGAUCCUGAUCACACCUCGUUCCGUAGUAAAGGUCACCUCAGAGGGAAUGAAUACAAGGAGGGCUCUCUUAAAAUUUGUGCGUUGUUUUUACAUGUAAAUGAAUCCACUAAUAAAACUAAAAAUUUUA